rfam:Oryza sativa (indica cultivar-group) chromosome 7, whole genome shotgun sequence.
AAUAAGUGCAGCUAUGAGUUUCCGCGCCCAACUUUGAUCGUCCGUCUUAUUUGAAAUUUUUUAUAAUUAGUAUUUUUAUUUUUAUGAGAUGAUAAAAUAUGAAUAGUACUUUACUCGUGACUUAUGUUUUUAAUUUUUUUUAAAAAAAAAAAUUCAAAUAAGACGAACAGUUAAAGUUGGGCGUGGAAAACCAUGGUUGCACUUAUU